AUGAACGCUAGCUACAGGCUUAACACAUGCAAGUCAGGGGCAGCGAGAGGAAAGCUUGCUUCCUUGUCGGCGACCGGCGCACGGGUGAGUAACGCGUAUCCAACCUUCCCCAUAGUAGAGGAUAGCCCGGCGAAAGUCGGAUUAAUACUCUAUGUUGUGUCAUGAGGACAUCUGAAUAACACCAAAGAUUUAUCGCUAUGGGAUGGGGAUGCGUCUGAUUAGCUUGUCGGCGGGGCAACGGCCCACCGAGGCGACGAUCAGUAGGGGUUCUGAGAGGAAGGUCCCCCACAUUGGUACUGAGACACGGACCAAACUCCUACGGGAGGCAGCAGUGAGGAAUAUUGGUCAAUGGACGAGAGUCUGAACCAGCCAAGUAGCGUGCAGGAUGACUGCCCUAUGGGUUGUAAACUGCUUUUAUGCGGGAAUAAAGUCAGGUACGUGUACCUGUUUGUAUGUACCGCAUGAAUAAGGACCGGCUAAUUCCGUGCCAGCAGCUGC
rnacentral:rRNA from 1 species